UCAUGGCUCAGAUUGAACGCUGGCGGCAGGCCUAACACAUGCAAGUCGAGCGGUAGAGAGAAGCUUGCUUCUCUUGAGAGCGGCGGACGGGUGAGUAAUGCCUAGGAAUCUGCCUGGUAGUGGGGGAUAACGUUCGGAAACGAACGCUAAUACCGCAUACGUCCUACGGGAGAAAGCAGGGGACCUUCGGGCCUUGCGCUAUCGGAUGAGCCUAGGUCGGAUUAGCUAGUUGGUGGGGUAAUGGCUCACCAAGGCGACGAUCCGUAGCUGGUCUGAGAGGAUGAUCAGCCACACUGGAACUGAGACACGGUCCAGACUCCUACGGGAGGCAGCAGUGGGGAAUAUUGGACAAUGGGCGAAAGCCUGAUCCAGCCAUGCCGCGUGAGUGAAGAAGGCCUUAGGGUUGUAAAACUCUUUCGACAGGGAAGAUAAUGACGGUACCUGUAGAAGAAGCUCCGGCUAACUCCGUGCCAGCAGCCGCGGUAAUACGGAGGGGGCAAGCGUUGCUCGGAAUUACUGGGCGUAAAGCGAGCGUAGGCGGUUAGUCAAGUUGGUGGUGAAAGCCCAGAGCUCAACUCUGGAACUGCCAUCAAAACUGACUUACUUGAGAUUGGUAGAGGGAAAUGGAAUUCCUAGUGUAGAGGUGAAAUUCGUAGAUAUUGGGAAGAACAUCGGUGGCGAAGGCGAUUUCCUGGGCCAAUUCUGACGCUGAGGUUCGAAAGCGUGGGUAGCAAACAGGAUUAGAUACCCUGGUAGUCCACGCCGUAAAC
rnacentral:rRNA from 1 species